ensembl:lncRNA
CUCCCAUGCCGACCUACUUCCCCGUCCUUCCCAGUUCACCAUCAUUCCAUACCGACGGGAGAGAGAGAGAGAGGGAGGCGGGAAAGAGGGAGAGGAUAAUGGAGAGGUGGGAGGAGAGGGGGGAGGAGGGAGAGAGAUAGAGAGGUUUAGAGAGAGGAAUGGAGGUUCUUGUGAGAGUUUAAGGAUGAGGAACCUGGGAAAAGAGGGUGCUGGGAAACAGGUUGUCAUGGAGACCAUAAAGCACAGCUGGAUCACCGGUCUCCACAACCCAGCUUCAGGCAAAUCAACAUGUGUCUGACCCUGUCCUCGACCCCCCAGUGUGUCUGACCCUGUCCUCGACCAACCCCAGUGUGUCUGACCCUGUCCUCGACCCCCAGUGUUGUGUCUGACCCUGUCCUCGACCCCCAGUUGUGUCUGACCCUGUCCUCGACCAACCCCAGUGUGUCUGACCCUGUCCACCAACCCCAGUGUGUCUGACCCUGUCCACCAACCCCAGUGUGUCUGACCCUG